CGGGAAACUGGGGAUAAUACCCCAUAGGCUAUAGAUGCUGGAAUGUGCUGUAGCCGAAAGGUCAGCCGCCUUAGGAUGGGUCUGCGGCCGAUUAGGUUGUUGUUGGGGUAACGGCCCAACAAGCCUGUAAUCGGUACGGGUUGUGGGAGCAAGAGCCCGGAGAUGGAUUCUGAGACACGAAUCCAGGCCCUACGGGGCGCAGCAGGCGCGAAAACUUUACAAUGCGGGAAACCGUGAUAGGGGAACUCCGAGUGCCCGGUAAAUCGGGCUGUCCAUCAGUUUAAAUAACUGGUGAAGAAAGGGCCGGGCAAGACCGGUGCCAGCCGCCGCGGUAACA
rnacentral:rRNA from 1 species